rnacentral:rRNA from 1 species
CUUGCCUUAUAUAAGAGGUCUAGCCUGCCCAGUGACAUUGUUCAACGGCCGCGGUAUCCUAACCGUGCGAAGGUAGCGUAAUCACUUGUUCUUUAAAUGAGGACUAGUAUGAAAGGCAUCACGAGAGUCAUACUGUCUCCUUUCUCUAAUCAGUGAAACUAAUCUCCCCGUGAAGAAGCGGGGAUAAAAAUAUAAGACGAGAAGACCCUAUGGAGCUUUAAACAAAUAAUAUAUACCCUUUUAACUUCAAAUUUCAGAAAAAUCUCUUACCCUGGUAUAAUAACUAAUAGUUUUUGGUUGGGGUGACCACGGAAUAAAAAACAACUUCCACAAUGAAAGAUUCUCCUUCACUAAGUUAAGGACUACAGCCCUAUACAUCAAUAAAUUGACAUAAUUGACCCAACAUAUUGAUCAAUGAAC